rnacentral:lncRNA from 1 species
CAGCGGAUGGCAAGCAGCUGUGGGAUCAACAACAUAACACCUGGUUUCUGACCUAAAGUGACUAAGAAACUGGAGAUCUCAUCACUGGCAGCCACAGUCCUGCAACAUGAUCUAUCCUCUGAUAUAUUUGUCUAAUGCUUUUUUUAGGCCUCCUGUAGGCUCUAGCUGCAGAAAACAAUCCCUCUGAGUUCUUUCUUUCCUUGUAGAAAUUGGCAAAGAGAUAAGAAACAAAGUAUGAAAGAUAGCAAAUGGAUCUUGGGGGAAUGUGAUGGAGGGGGAGCCUCUCUUCGCUUAUAAUGAGCAGACUGUUGCUCCAGUGCAGAAAUUCAAGUUUUGUCUUUCAAAUCACCAGGUGUCUCCUAGACCUCAUGGAUUCCCUAUUUUUUCCUCAGUUUCUACUUAUAGCAUUCACACUUCCUGCUACAGGAGACUAACUGCAGCAAAAUGUUUUCAGUCUGCCAGAAGGAUUGCUUAUAAGAUCUUCAGAAGCAGUCAGGCUCUCAGCUGUGCCUCUACUCAUCUAAAUCCUUCAGAUGGACACUACUGACACCUACCACUGCCAUUGAACCCAGUGGGUGCCUUGACUGAUGAAAAAACUCCUCAUGGAAUUCACUGUCCACCAUGAAUGAAGUGUUUGGGGUCCAGCUCAAGCCAGAAGCUCAGAGGAGACCUUGCAAAUAGACACCCUGCCAGUAGACCUGAUCUCCCACUUACGACACAUACUGAAUCAGGAUAAGGUAAGGGUCAGAGCCCUCAGACACGAUUUGGACUGCUUAGGUGUGUUUGCACCCUCUGCUGUGAUGUGAGCUUUGCGCUCCAUAUUAAAGGAGAUUUCCCUAAAUGUCAGGUUUGGGGUCGAUCUCUCUUACUGAAUAGCAACAGGAUAAUGCCACUGUAUGUAAGUGGUGAGGCUUGAUGAGCAGGAACCUGACUCCCUAGACCACUGGUUCAUAAACUGUAGUAUGUUGGAAACUGUGCCCUACCUAACUGUUCAGCUAUCAAAAAUGAGGAAACUCUAACACAAAAGAGUGACAAACUCAAAAUACUUGGUAGGGCACUGACAUGAAAUCCUAUACUCAUAUCUCUGCUCUGAAUCAUGCUGGCCAUAUUUAGUAAACCUAGGACUCCUACACCCUUGGUGAAUAAUCUAAACUGGAAGGCAAAUGCAUGUUUUUAGAAGUGGAGAUGGAGACAUUCUGGCUGCUAGCAGGGACCCUUAAUACCUGGGAAAGGACUCAACCUUUGCUUAAAGCAUGGUCUGUCUACAAAAGAUGGAUUGAGUAGUACAGCAAACUGUUACUAUGUGGAUGAUUCACUUGGUUUAUGAGGAAGAAAAUGGAUUAAAG